GGUAUAUAAUUUCUUUAUUAAAAUAUAACUCUUAUUUAAAGACUACAAAUCUAAUUCGACUGGCUUGGGCGCGUCCGUUGAAUAGAAUAGACGUUAGAAUACAAAUUUUUAUGAGAGCGAGCCAAACAACCUUUUGUCUCGCUUCUAUGUCUCAGGUUUCAGAGUUUCGCGCUCAGCGUGCGACAUCUAGCUACGAAACUCUGAAACCUAAACAUAAGGGGAAUUACACAUUAUUAAUGAUAGUUGCCUUAAUUUUAUACUACAACUCGGCCAAUCUGACAAUUUGAUCGCCCACGAUUAAAUUAAACAAACAAGUCUUAAGUUAUAAUCAUGAGAUGGUAGGUGUCGCCCUUAAUCAACCGAACCUUCAGAGUCUCGAUUCUUCCAAAGUCGAAUAUUUCGAGACUCGACAAUGCCAUCAUAUGGCAGCUGUGUGAUUUGACAACCUUCGAUAUCGCGUAUUACGUAUCUAUCAUUAGGUAGAAUUUUGUAAACAACGUAUGGGCCUCUGAACUUUGGAACCAAUUUCUUAUUUACACCGGUUGUUGUAUCUACAUUUUUUAUUACUACAUAAUCACCCUCAUCGUAUAUACGUGCCGGGUUAUUAUGCUCAUUAAAAUAUUUAAUAUUAUAUUCCUGAAUCUUAGUGAUUGCUUCUGAAGCCUUUUCUCUUGACAAUUCAAGAUUUCUUUCCAGUUGACUUAAUUGUUUAUCAUCAAGAAAUUCUGUUAAUUUGUCGAUUACUACUCCCCUUUGGUUAAUACCAAAUAACAAUUGACUUGGUGUAUUUUGAAUAGCGCGAUGUAUAGUGUUAUUUAGUCCGAAUUCUAUUUGUGUUAAAGUAACAACCCAAUCUGAGUGCUCGAUUGGUUCCGAAAGCUUAGCAAGCAUGCCAGUUAAUACCCUAUUGACUCGCUCUACUUGACCAUUGGCCUGUGGCGAAUGAACUGCCACCUUAACAUGAUCUAUAUUCUGGUCUAUAACAAAUGAACUAAACUCUAGUGAUGUAAAGCAGGUUCCCCUAUCAGUAAUUACUCUUGAUGGCCUACUGUAAUACUCAAAAUAUUUUCUUAGUGCUGCACAUACUUCUUUUGAGCUUGUAGAUACAACUGGGGAGAGGACCAAGAUGAUCCAAGUGUAUUGUAUGGAAUGGAAUGGGCUCCUUAGGAAUAUUGAACAAAUUGCGUAUAUUAGAUCGAACUGGUGCUGAGUGCAUUAUGCAACGGAUACAAUUUUUAAUGUAUUUUUCAACUUUUUCCUGAACAUUCGGAAACCAAUAGUGACGGCCAAUUUGAUCAGAGCUUUUUGUUACACCUAAAUGCCCAAUUUUCUCAUGGAUCAUUCUUAUAACAUUAGUUUCCAUUUCAGAUGGGACAUAGAAUCGAAGUUUACCAUUUUUAUUUUUUUUGAAGACAAUACCAUCCUGAACUAAAAACGAAUUAUUAUCUUUUAAAUAUAGUUUGUUUUUCAUUUCCAAAAUCUUUACAUCUCGAUUUUGGGCUGCUCUGAGUUGGAAAUCAACAUCCUCAGAGUCAAUAACGGAUAUAACAUUACAUCUGCUUAAGGCAUCAACAUGAUUCAUAUUGGCACCACUACGAUGUUUGACCUUAUAAUCAUAAUCCUCCAGCUCUAAGGCCCAUCGAGCAAUUCUAUGAUUAACAUUCUUUUUGUUCAGUGUCAUUGUUAAAGAACUGCAAUCAGUUACGAUUGUAAAAGGAAUACCUUGCAAAUAAACACGGAACCGACGUAAAGCUGAAAUUAUGGCUAAAGUUUCCAAUUCAAAACUAUGGUAUUUGGCCUCUUGAUCAGUGGUGCUUUUAGAGAAGAAUGCUACCGGAUGUAAUUUAUCAUCUUCUUGUCGUUGGAGUAGAACUGCACCAUACCCUAAUGAACUUGCAUCGCAAUGCAGUUCUGUUUCUUUCCUUGGACUAUAGAUUGCCAAUACAGGUGGAGAUGUUAACCGUUCCUUUAAAGUCUGAAAAACAUCUUCGCAUUCGGAAGUAAAUCUAAAAGGAGUUUCAGCUUUUAAUAAAUUAUAAAGAGGUCUUGCUAUUCUUGAAAAGGAUUCGACAAACCUGCGAAAGUAUGAACAAAGUCCUAAAAAUGAAUGCAAUUUCUUUCUGUCUUUAGGCACAGGAUAUUGAGCAAUCGCUCGAAUAUGGGAAUCACUAGGUUGGAUGCCAUGUUCCGUUACUUUAAACCCUAAGUAAUCAAGUUUCGAAUAUGCAAAGCGACAUUUUGACAAGUUGAGCUCCAACCCAUUCUUCGCUACACAACAUAAAAUUUUAGUAAGUAUCUCAAAAUGUUCAGUAAUAGUUUUACUAGCAAUUAAUAUAUCAUCUAGGUAGACAACUAUAUCUCCUCUGUCUAUAAAUUCACGAAAAAUUUGAAUUAUGAAUCUCUGAAAAACACUGGGCGCAUUCUUAAGGCCGAAAGGCAUUUUAAGAAAUUCCCAUUGACCGUUCGGGGUUACGAAAGAUGUUAAUUGUGUUGAAUCUGCUGCUACCUUUACCUGGUAUUCAAUGCAAUCGUCUAUCAAUGGUAUUGGAUGAGGAUCUCUUACUGUACGUUUGUUCAAUGCUCGAUAGUCUAUACACAUUCUGGUUUCACCAGAUUUUUUCUUAACUAAAACUAUUGGUGCAGCAUACGGAGAACUACUUGGCUGAAUAAUUCGUUUUUCCAAUAGGUCUUUUAUUAUUUCACUCACAGUACCUUUUUCUGAGACUGAUAGCCUUCGCGGAGCAAAACAAACAGGAAUAUCAGAUGUAAGUCUAAUGUGCAUCUCAAAAUCCUUUGGUGAAACCAUAGUUUUAUCAAAAUUCAAAUAAUUUUGAGAUACUAUAUUUUUAAUAGUUUUUGAAAUGUCUAAACUAAGAUUUGAAUCAAUAUCUAUAUAAUCUUUUCUAUCCCAUAUAAUCUCAAAAGCAUGGCAGCCAAAUAAAUCACUAUCUACCUCAACAUUAUUGUAUUCUCUCUUCACAUCAAGAUCGUCUUUAAGCUUAAUCCGAUCAUGAUCAAAUGUAUUCAACUUGUCUUUGAAGCAAUCACUAAGUUCUUUAGGUUGUAUCUUUAAUUCACCGGCUAAUACGCUGCUCCCAAAAACAUCAUUUAUGUUGUUCUUAUAAUGACUACACUCUGAAGGUUCGGUUUUUUCAUCAGAAUAAGUGCACAUAUACAAUUGGUUAGAAAGAAAAACUUUAUUCGAACAAAUUUCAUUUUGACACUGCUCAGAAGUUAUAUUAACUUUAUUACAGUUCAUGUUAAGUUUUAUAUUAAAGAUUUCAAGGAGAUCACGACCAAUAAGUAAAGGUAUAGGAGUUACUUCAUCUGGAAUAACCAUAAGGGAAACAAGAUUUAAAUUAUCUUUUAUAUUAAUAUAACAAUUAAUCGUACCGUACGUAAAGAGUUUAAUGUUUCCUAAUCCUUUAAAUCUUGAAUACGUUAAUGAUUCUUGAACGUUAAUUUCUUCAGGCAGAACAGACUUUCGUAUGAAACUAAUCGGACUACCGGUAUCCAAAAGAGAACAACAAUCGAUAAAUUUUGUGCACUUAUUCUUAUUUGUCAUAAAGGCGACACUCACCAUCUGAACAGCAUCCAAACUCUGAGUCAGCUCCUUGGUGUCAUCAUUAAGGGCAUCCCGGUUCACGGCUCCAACUCUGGUCUUCACAAUAUAAGGGCAGUUUUUGUAAGUGUGCCCCUCGUCAGCACAUUUGAAACAGGAUCCAGCUGGUCGUUGCUCCUUUGGACAUUUUGCUGCGAUGUGCCCAUACUUUGAGCAAUUAAAACAUCUCUUGGACUGCUCGUUGUUUGAUGCUGAAGUUGAGGGAACCAUAUUUCCUCCAGAAGUUGUUGCCCUAGCAACCAUAGUCCUCGGAACUCUUCUUUUUUCGUAUCGUGGCAAGAGGUUUUUGAGCUCUACUAUAGUUUUGGCGGCAAAAAGAAUAGAGACAUUUGCUGGUGAAUCCCUCAAACCAUCGAUAAUGAAUUCGAUCAACUCUGCCUCAUCGAUUUCAGCAUGUGACCCAAGUUCUUGCAUACAUAUGACAUAUCGAAGAAGUGGCUCGCCCUGACGACGUACUCUCUCACUCAGUUGACGAUAGACCUGCUGUCUGCUCAUCUUAUGGUCGAAUUCUUUGAUAAGUAUUUGCUUCAAAGAAUCCCAGUUGUCAACGUAGACCGUGCGUAACAGCAUUUUCGCAGUUCCCUGCAUGAGACGGCGUGCAGACAAGUACUUGCAUCGGUCAUCGCAUCCCAGCGAGUCGGUCACAUCUUCGUAGUCAACUAUCCAUUUAGUGAUGCUGUAUGGAUCGUCACCGUUGAAUGCAGGAACAGCAUUUUCGAUGUCUGAGAAGUCCACUGCACGCCAUGGUGCAACCGAAGAUGUUGUGGGCGCUUCCAUCUGGUCCAAUUCUUUCCUUAGCUCAAGGAUUUUUUUCCGACGCUCAAGUCUGGCCAGCUCUUGUUCUUCUUCCAAGUCUUGGACAUCAGAAGCUGUAUUACUGUGCCUGUUAUCAGAAGCGGCCAGUGUUUCGGAAGUAUUCUCUCCAUUCGGAGAUGCAGAAGGUGGAGUUUCCUCGGUUAGCUCAGCAGAAGGUGGAGUUUUCUCAGUUAACUCACCAGAAGGUUGUUGGGGUGCCACUGUAACUGUACUUUCAUACAAUGCCCGAAGUUGAGCUAGAGAAGCCGUGUCUGGCACAUCUACUCCAGCGCUCUGAAGUGCUUCAACCAAUUGUGCUUUGUUGAGUUUUGUCAUAGCUGGCUUUAAAUCCGCAAAAAGAGGUAAUAUAC